rnacentral:lncRNA from 1 species
UUCAACAUGAUGACUAUAAACAAAAAGGAGUCAUAUCAUCACGAUCAUUGAUGCACAAGAACUUGAUCAUAUAAAUACAACAAUGUAAUUAUCAAUUGAAAGAUGGAACGAAUGAACAAGAUAUUAGAAUGUUGUUGUCCAAAUAAACUUGCUUUGUCUUCUCAUUUGAAUCUCUCGAUUCAAUAAAGAUGUACAGAGGAAGAUCUUUGAAGAACAGAUUGAAAAAAUGUUUUGUCUAAGAAUUGCAGGAAUAUUCUAGUGAAUGAAAUUAUUUAUUGACUUCACUCUUAUAUAGUGGACUGAAUAAUUGUACAUAGCAAGUUGUGAAUAAAGAAAGCAAAAACUUUAACAAAAAGUGUUUAUAUUAUAAAUUUGCAAAUAUAAGCAUACUAUUAUGUACACCACAAAGUUAUAUAUUAUAAUUCAAAUCGUUUGCCUAUACAAGUAUUGCAAUGAACCUAUAACAAAGAAAAUCUUACCUCAUGAAAAGAGUGAACUAUUCAGUCAGAAUAUGAAAUAUUUUUUCAGUUCUAUUUUUCAUAAUAGAAUAAACAAGAC